GGGAAAAAAUGGGAAAAAUCGGGGAAAAGUUGGGAAUUCAUUCCAGGUUAUUUUUGAGGAGAUUUUCCCAAAUUUCCCCCCCUUGAGCACCCAUAGGGAGCAACGAGGGAAGGAGAAACGGAGCCAAAAACGCCAAAAAAAGAGCAAAAAAAAUCAGGAAAAAAUUGGGAAAAAUCGGGAAAAAUGGGGAAAAAAUGGGAAAAAUCGGGGAAAAGUUGGGAAUUCAUUCCAGGUUAUUUUUGAGGGGAUUUUCCCAAAUUUCACCCCCUUGAGCACCCAUAGGGAGCAACGAGGGGAAGGAAAAACGGAGCCAAAAAUGCCAAAAAAAAGCGCAAAAAAUCGGGA